rfam:Candidatus Pacebacteria bacterium RIFCSPHIGHO2_01_FTLL_46_10 rifcsphigho2_01_scaffold_11950_2, whole genome shotgun sequence.
GCAGUGGUGGCGGAAUUGGCAGACGCGCAGGGCUUAGAACCCUGUGCCCUUCAAUAAGGCAUGAGAGUUCGAUCCUCUCCCACUGCA